AGCAGUAUAAUGACUGCUAUCAACAUAGCCACGUCAACUGAUUAGUUGAUGAAAAACAACUACAUGUAGGAACGAUUAAAAUCCCCAACCAGGCUGCGCACAGAGGUCAAGCAAACAGACUCAAAAUCCAUAGUAAGCAUGAUCAUUGGGAAAGUCACCCAGACAAAUAAAGGCCCUAUACCGUGUCCGAGGAGAACAAGAAAAAUGAUCUGUUUCAAAUGUGUCUGAAUAUGUCAUGUCAUUUUUACAUCACAGGUUUUGGACCAGCAUAGUCAGGUUUCAAACAUCAUCAGGUUCCUAUUCAAUGUCAGAUUGUAAUACAAAUAAAAUACCUAAUAGCAUCAUUUGGAUGGUCACUGUUGCACUUUAGCUUUAAUGUUUCCAUUGUUGAAUUGUCUUUUCAGUGGUCUUUUACCUCUUUCGCUGCUAACCUUUUUACAUCUUCAUUAAUAUCUUCAUUUGGGAAGUUGAAGGUAUACAUUAAUGUAUUUGUGAGACAUGUUUAUUUAGCUUUUUGUUGCUGUAAAUAAUGGCAAAGUAAUUUAACAUACUCAAAUCUCUAUGUUCUUUGUUGAUAUAAUUACAUCAAGUACACUAGGCCUAGGACGCAACAUGCUAACUCUGCUAUUGAAAGAGGCAUCCUCUUGGCUUGUGAGAAACAAAUGUGGAUUUUUUUUGGUGAUUUUUUAGGCAGUUUCAUACAUUUUAAUGAAUAUGUCCCAUUAUUUAACACUGAAGAUCUGGUUCCAUUUGGCAUAAUGGAGGUAAACAAACAUCAAGGAGACAUAUUAGCUUCAUUAAAUGGGAACAAUUUCUUACUUUUGAGAAGAGUCAAAUUAUCUGAAGGGUCAAUGUGUGUUAAGGUGGACCAUGUCAUUUGAGGCAGAAGGUUUCCCCCAACAUGUCCCCCAGCAGGUGUCCCCCAACAUGUCCCC